UACGGAGGAUGCGAGCGUUAUCCGGAUUUAUUGGGUUUAAAGGGUGCGUAGGCGGAUCGUUAAGUCAGUGGUCAAAUUGAGGGGCUCAACCCCUUCCCGCCAUUGAAACUGGCGAUCUUGAGUGGAAGAGAAGUAUGCGGAAUGCGUGGUGUAGCGGUGAAAUGCAUAGAUAUCACGCAGAACUCCGAUUGCGAAGGCAGCAUGCCGGCUUCCUACUGACGCUGAAGCACGAAAGCGUGGGGAUCGAACAGG
rnacentral:rRNA from 1 species